GGACCUAGGGGGCAGCAGGGGGAGGAGAAGGCGAACUUAAACUCGAGUUUGUUGAGCGCCAGUGGCGACGGAGUGGCAGCAAUGGUGCCGGUGGCAGCAGCGGUUGGGCACCCUCGUACAGGUCCUCGAGGCAGUAGGAGCAGAACAGAGGACGCGGUGACCUAGUUCCGGCUCCACGUGGCCACUGCGGCAGGCGUAGCUAGGGGAAGCAGCCUAUAGCGGUGACGGGGAGCAGCUAGGCGAGGUGGGCUCGGAGAGGCCGGAAGUGCUCGGGCGGAGCUCGAAGUGAAAUGAAGAAAGGCCAUCUGGGUCUCUGACGGCCGCUGGGGGUCAAGCUGAUGCCACAACUGCUAGGGAGGAACGGUCUCGUUGGUC
rnacentral:rRNA from 1 species